AUGGAUUUCAGCUGAGAGCCCUUGAGCUAUCCUUGUUCCUGACCUCUUAAAGCUUGGCUGUUUAGCUUUUUCUUCAAAUUCUAAGCAAAGAGAGAAUUCACUCACAGGAAUACAAAGAAUCCUGGGAGUUACCAAGAGACACAAAAGUUGGAAAAACUAGCACUUGCCUAGAAGAAGUCAAGCUAUCCAAGAAACCAAAGAGGUGUGGCUUUUUGUACUUGGCUUGAGAAUCUUUAUAACAUUCCAUCAAGGAGAAACCACAAAAAGAAAUGAAAAAGUUACAAAGCAGAGUUCUGGGUACCAACGGGGAAGGCCGGAGAGGGAUUCUACACAGAGGAAGCAUUUCUUCCAUUAAGGUUCAUGAAACCUGGAAGGUGGCGGCAAGCAGAUUACAGAGCCAUGGAACUUA